rnacentral:rRNA from 1 species
AGUGAACGCUGGCGGUAGGCCUAACACAUGCAAGUCGAACGGCAGCACAGUAAGAGCUUGCUCUUACGGGUGGCGAGUGGCGGACGGGUGAGGAAUACAUCGGAAUCUACUUUUUCGUGGGGGAUAACGUAGGGAAACUUACGCUAAUACCGCAUACGACCUACUGGUGAAAGCAGGGGAUCUUCGGACCUUGCGCGAUUGAAUGAGCCGAUGUCGGAUUAGCUAGUUGGCGGGGUAAAGGCCCACCAAGGCGACGAUCCGUAGCUGGUCUGAGAGGAUGGUCCGACACACUGGCACUGAGACACGGUCCAGACUCCUACGGGAGGCAGCAGUGGAGAAUAUUAGACGAUGGGCGCAAGCCUGAUCCAGCCAUACCGCGUGGGGGAAGAAGGCCUUCGGGUGGUAAAGCCCUUUUGUUGGGAAAGAAAAACAGCAGGUUAAUCCCCCGCUGUUCUGACGGUACCCAAAGAAUAAGCACCGGCUAACUUCGUG